rnacentral:rRNA from 1 species
AUUGAACGCUGGCGGCAGGCCUAACACAUGCAAGUCGGACGGUAGCACAGAGGAGCUUGCUCCUCGGGUGAUGAGUGGCGGACGGGUGAGUAAUGUCUGGGAAACUGCCCGAUGGAGGGGGAUAACUACUGGAAACGGUAGCUAAUACCGCAUAACGUCGCAAGACCAAAGUGGGGGACCCUCGGGCCUCACACCAUCGGAUGUGCCCAGAUGGGAUUAGCUAGUAGGUGGGGUAAUGGCUCACCUAGGCGACGAUCCCUAGCUGGUCUGAGAGGAUGACCAGCAACACUGGAACUGAGACACGGUCCAGACUCCCACGGGAGGCAGCAGUGGGGAAUAUAGCACAAUGGGCGCAAGCCUGAUGCAGCCAUGCCGCGUGUAUGAAGAAGGCCUUCGGGUUGUAAAGUACUUUCAGCGGGGAGGAAGGCGGUGAGGUUAAUAACCUCGCCGAUUGACGUUACCCGCAGAAGAAGCACCGGUUAACUCCGUGCCAGCCGCCGCGGUAA